UCUUCAACGUUUCAACGCCGUAAAGUAUGCAACAUGCAGAACAGAAGCAAUGCUUCACUCGUUCGAAGCAGCUUUAUCCAGCAGAACUUUUGCCCUAAUCUGUCAGAAAAAUGUCCAAUCUCUCGGUGUAAGAUGUGUCUCUACGGUUAGAAACGGCAGUGGUUGGCCACAGAAGAAGAAACAAAAAACUGGCUAUUCAUCCCAUAUGAAUCCAUCAUCACAUUAAUGCUCUCAGCUCUCAGCUUUUCCAAAAAAUGCGCUCCACAAUCGCGAAAAUCCCAUUUCAAGUACAAAUGUAUCCCUCCUGCUCGACAGCCCCUGGAGGAUUUGGUACCUCAAAACUCGGGGACGUAACGUAACGGAUAGAUUCAAAAGCUACACGGACGCCUAAAUGUAUGCAAUUUUAAAAGUUGCUUCUAAUACUGACGAAUAGGUGGCGCUACUGUACUGCUCGUUUGCUCCGCAGAACAGUAGGACAAGUAAUGGAAAAAGGAAUGUGACCUUAAGCAAUGAAAAUAGAAUUAAGAAAUUAAAACCCUU